rnacentral:rRNA from 1 species
UAACACGUGGGAACGUGCCUUUAGGUUCGGAAUAACUCAGGGAAACUUGUGCUAAUACCGAAUGUGCCCUUCGGGGGAAAGAUUUAUCGCCUUUAGAGCGGCCCGCGUCUGAUUAGCUAGUUGGUGAGGUAAAGGCUCACCAAGGCGACGAUCAGUAGCUGGUCUGAGAGGAUGAUCAGCCACAUUGGGACUGAGACACGGCCCAAACUCCUACGGGAGGCAGCAGUGGGGAAUCUUGCGCAAUGGGCGAAAGCCUGACGCAGCCAUGCCGCGUGAAUGAUGAAGGUCUUAGGAUUGUAAAAUUCUUUCAGUAGGGACGAUAAUGACGGUACCUACAGAAGAAGCCCCGGCUAACUUCGUGCCAGCAGCCGCGGUAAUACGAAGGGGGCUAGCGUUGCUCGGAAUUACUGGGCGUAAAGGGAGCGUAGGCGGACAUUUAAGUCAGGGGUGAAAUCCCGGGGCUCAACCUCGGAAUUGCCUUUGAUACUGGGUGUCUUGAGUAUGAGAGAGGUAUGUGGAACUCCGAGUGUAGAGGUGAAAUUCGUAGAUAUUCGGAAGAACACCAGUGGCGAAGGCGACAUACUGGCUCAUUACUGACGCUGAGGCUCGAAAGCGUGGGGAGCAAACAGGAUUAGAUACCCUGGUAGUCCACGCCGUAAACGAUGAUUGCUAGUUGUCGGGAUGCAUGCAUUUCGG